rnacentral:rRNA from 1 species
UGGGGAAUGAUUGCACAAUGGGCGAAAGCCUGAUGCAGCAACGCCGCGUGAGUGAUGAAGGCCUUCGGGUUGUAAAGCUCUGUCUUUUGGGACGAUAAUGACGAUACCAAAGGAGGAAGCCACGGCUAACUACGUGCCAGCAGCCGCGGUAAUACGUAGGUGGCAAGCGUUGUCCGGAUUUACUGGGCGUAAAGGAUGCGUAGGCGGAUUUUUAAGUGAGAUGUGAAAACCCUAAGCUUAACUUGGGGACUGCAUUUCAUACUGGGAAAAUCUAGAGUGCGGGAGAGGAGAAUGGAAUUCCUAGUGUAGCGGUGAAAUGCGUAGAGAUUAGGAAGAACACCAGUGGCGAAGGCGAUUCUCUGGACCGUAACUGACGCUGAGGCAUGAAAGCGUGGGUAGCAAACAGGAUUAGAUACCCUGGUAGUCCACGCCGUAAACGAUGAGUACUAGGUGUAGGAGGUAUCGACCCCUUCUGUGCCGCAGUUAACACAAUAAGUACUCCGCCUGGGAAGUACGAUCGCAAGAUUAAACUUAAAUGAUUGACGGGGUCAUAGCUGUUUCCU